rnacentral:lncRNA from 1 species
UAGCACUGGGCUCCACGUGAGGGACUCUUCUUGGUCUACGCUGAAGCCUCGCUAUCAGGGCUUACCAUCUCCAGCUGCAGGACAUCAAGGGCUCCUGACAUUGUGAAUGUUUCCCUUUAAGUUACCACGGGAAUCCAGAACACCAUAUGGACCCCUUUGUGGAUACCGCGGAAAAGCGAAGCAAGAAGGCUACCAGAUGCAGAUCCAGCCCCUUGAUCUUGGACUUCGCAGCCUCUAGAACCAUGAGCCAAAU